rnacentral:misc_RNA from 1 species
GAAAUGCGAUAAGUAAUGUGAAUUGCAGAAUUCAGUGAAUCAUCGAAUCUUUGAACGCACCUUGCGCUCCUUGGUAUUCCUUGGAGCAUGCCUGUUUGAGUAUCAUGAAAUUCUCAAAGUAAAUCUUUUGUUAAUUCAACUGGUUUUGCUUUGGACUUGGAGGUCUUUGCAGAUUUCACGUCUGCUCCUCUUAAAUGCAUUAGCUGGAUCUCAGUAUAUGCUUGGUUCCACUCGGCGUGAUAAGUAUCACUCGCUGAGGACACUGUAAAAAGGUGGCCAGGAAAUACAGAUGAACCGCUUCUAAUAGUCUAUUAAGUUAGACAAUUAAUUUUAAGAUCUGAUCUCAAAUCAGGUAGGACUACCCGCUGAACUUAA